rnacentral:rRNA from 1 species
GACGAACGCUGGCGGCGUGCCUAAUACAUGCAAGUAGGACGCAGUUGCGAACGGGUGAGUAACGCGUAGGUAACUGCCUAUUAGAGGGGGAUAACUAUUGGAAACGAUAGCUAAUACCGCAUACUAGUAGAUGGACCUGCGUUGUAUUAGCUAGUAGGUAGGGUAAUGGCCUGUCUAGGCGUCGAUACAUAGCCGACUUGAGAGGGUGAUCGGCCAAAAGGGGACUGGGGCAAGGCCCAGAAUCCUACGGGAGGCAGCAAGAGGGAAACUUUGGCAAUGGGGGGAACCCUGACCGAUCAACGCCGCGGGAGUGAAGAAGGUUUUCGGAUCGUAAAGCUCUGUUGUUAAGGAAGCGGUACUUAACCAGAAAGGGACGGCUAACUCCGUGCCAGCAGCCGCGGUAAUAC